GAUGAACGCUAGCUACAGGCUUAACACAUGCAAGUCGAGGGGAAACGGCAUUAAGUGCUUGCACUUUUUGGACGUCGACCGGCGCACGGGUGAGUAACGCGUAUCCAACCUUCCCAUGACUAAGGGAUAACCUGCCGAAAGGCAGACUAAUACCUUAUGGUCUUCACUGACGGCAUCAGAUGUGAAGUAAAGAUUUAUCGGUUAUGGAUGGGGAUGCGUCUGAUUAGCUUGUUGGCGGGGUAACGGCCCACCAAGGCAACGAUCAGUAGGGGUUCUGAGAGGAAGGUCCCCCACAUUGGAACUGAGACACGGUCCAAACUCCUACGGGAGGCAGCAGUGAGGAAUAUUGGUCAAUGGGCGAGAGCCUGAACCAGCCAAGUAGCGUGCAGGAUGACGGCCCUAUGGGUUGUAAACUGCUUUUGUAUGGGGAUAAAGUCAAUCACGUGUGAUUGUUUGCAGGUACCAUACGAAUAGGGACCGGCUAAUUCCGUG
rnacentral:rRNA from 1 species